rnacentral:lncRNA from 1 species
UAGAAGGUUCAAGAGGAGAGGCAGUUAGCCAGAACUGUGGUCUGGUCUGGUCACUUCACCACUUGACUUUUCCUUCUUCUCUGGCCAACCCCUCUGAAGGAGGAAGGCUGAAGAAGUGCUUGGCUUUUACCCUCCUUUACCAGGCUGAACUGAAAGAGUCUUGCCCAGUGAAGAUCCCAGCUGAUAGAUAACUGAUUUUCCCUCAGGGAAAGUCAACCUUAUUUUCUUUGAAGAGAAUUUGAAUUGAAGCCUUCAACUAAAGAUAGAGAAGGCAGAAUUUGAGUUGGUGUGAAGCCAGAAGGUGGAGAUGGAGACAGGCAGCUAUAAAUUUCAGACUGAGUGGGGGACCAUCAGGGGAAUGACAAUCUACUUCAGGAUGCUGGGCCGAAGAUUCACACCAGUUUACCUAUAUGUUUCUAACUGAAUGAAGCCCAGAAAGAAAACCCAAGACUACACCACAUUAAAGAAUGAAGGUGAUGGUAUAUGAUAUUUCAAAGAGCAAAAGAAUUGUAUUUACAGUCAAGAAUAGCAUACCAAGCAAAGCUGAGCAUAAGCAUAUGAGGUAAAAAAUGGAUUUUUAAUGAACUAAGGGAGUUUCAAACUAUUCUUGAGUAAAAUCUAGUACUCAGUAGAAAACUUGUUUUAUAAGAAGCAUACAACUGUCAUUAUGAAAAAACAAUUAAUAAACAACC